rnacentral:misc_RNA from 1 species
AACACUGUUAACCUGCGGUACCUGCGGAGGGAUCAUUACAGAGUUGCAAAACUCCCUAAACCAUUGUGAACGUUACCUAAACCGUUGCUUCGGCGGGCGGCCCGGGUCCUUCCCGGCGCCCCUCGGCCCUCGCGGGCGCCCGCCGGAGGUAAACCAAACUAUUGCAUUGUAUGGCCUCUCUGAGUCUUCUGUACUGAAUAAGUCAAAACUUUCAGCAACGGAUCUCAGAUCGGAAGAGCA